UGGUGGUGGUGUUAUUUUUCACAAACUCAGAGGCCAAAGCCCUAAUGGAAGAGCCUGAGAGGCAGCUAAAUUUGGAAGGCGACACAGCAAUGGAGAAGACAAGAAGAAGAGUACAUGGGGAUUACCAUGGGAGCUAAGAGUAUGACAGGCAGGUUAAAGAGAGCAAUGUGCAUGGGGAUUGCGAUCCAUUAUUUGAAGAGUAUGACUGGCAGGUUAAAGAGAGCUAUCCAAUAUUUGAAGAGUAUCACAGGCAGGUUAAAGAAAGCGAUGUGAUGAGAUACCUCCUGAUUACGAUGCUAACAAAUACAGACCCAAAUACAAUCCCCAAUCCCCGGAUUACGACACUAACAAAUAUGGACCACCCUAAUACAUACCCGCAUAUAAUCCCCCGCAGUUUUGAUGAUUGAAGUGGUAGAUGGCUUUUUUUGCCAUGUUCAGGUUGGAAUUGUCAAAUUCUUUUGUUAUAUACAGACAGACAAGUAAUUAUGAGAAAAAUGAUGGUUUUGAA